rnacentral:rRNA from 1 species
UACGGGGGGAGCAAGCGUUGUUCGGAUUUACUGGGCGUAAAGGGCGCGUAGGCGGUCAGCACAAGUCAGUUGUGAAAUCUCCGGGCUUAACUCGGAAAGGUCAACUGAUACUGUGCGACUAGAGUGCAGAAGGGGCAACUGGGAAUUCUCGGUGUAGCGGUGAAAUGCGUAGAUAUCGAGAGGAACACCUGCGGCGAAGGCGGGUUGCUGGGCUGACACUGACGCUGAUGCGCGAAAGCCAGGGGAGGCGAACGGG